AGAGCCGCAAUACAUAAGCUUUCAAACUUCAAAACGCUUCUUAGAGACAUACGAAGAGAACAUUAUAUAAGAGGGGGCGUUACCUUUUUCGGGCAGCGAACGGGACAGGACAAACUGAUUACAAGAGAGCUUCCACCACCACGCGAGGUUCCGACGAAAUUUGAAAGGACAGAGUGUAGCAAACAGGAGCAAAAACUGAGCCCAAAAUGGUUUCAAGAAAUCUUCGCUUGAGUGUAUUUCUCCCUCUUUUAACGCUAGCUACUUUUCGAUAUUUUUCUCUAACAUAACUUCUCCAACUAUAAGAAAAUCCCAAAAAUCUCCUCUCUUUUUUUU
rnacentral:lncRNA from 1 species